AACCAAUCGAUCUGAAAAUUGGCUUAUGCAGUAGAAGCCCUUCCCUUCAGUCAGCGUUUGUCACGUUACCUGGGAGCGUCGAAUCGUUGAAAAUGUCCGAUGCUUCCAAAUCCAAAGCUUGAUUUCGUACGAAGACAACUGAAGCAUUAUAUUUUCUUGAAAAACAGGCAACUGUAGAUUAUUACCUCACCCUAGUCUUUCAAGUGCUUUAUUUCUACAGCUUUGCACUCCGUCAGCAACGAAGCGGCAUUUGCUUAUUACGGAAAUAUAAAAUCGUAGUUCUUUAUUACAACGGCCACCACGUAUUUCAAGCAAGGUUCGGUGGCAAUUACCUGUCCAAAGUUUGAUAAGUGCUGUUUCAUUUUAAGUUUUAUAGAUAAGGUUCUCACUUGAUGUUGCUUAGCUGGUAGUUUUCUGAGUUUACUAACUCAUUUUACCCCCUAGUGCAAGAUAAAUUUUUUUGAAUAUCAUGUGUCAAACAUUAAGAAAUCAAUCCAAUUACUUUAACACAAACAGCCAGCAUACUGUGUGCUCUGUGAAGACAGUGUCUUUUAACUUUCACAUGAAUUCUUGUGAAUUUGUAGCUAUGUGGUUAACCCUAUUUCAAUUCAGAAUUGUUAGAAGGUAAAUUUAAUUCCAUAAUCUGACAGCUUACUUGAAUAAAAUCUUAGUGCCAGAAAUAAGCCUUAGUUCAGCCAGCACAUAUAACAUUGUCAUGAGCUGAUCUUCUUUGCACUGUUUGGAGCAUUGGGUUUACUUGUUGUUUUGCAAAGUGGACUUAAAUUCUGGUGCCUCUUCCUUCCCACGUGUCAUUUUUCUGCCCAAGGGAAUAAUCGAAAAUGCUUCAGAGGAUAGGUUCAAAUAAAACAAAACGAAGCCAUGAA